rnacentral:tRNA from 1 species
CCGCCUGUAGCUCAGCAGGAUAGAGCAACCGCCUCCUAAGCGGUAGGUCGCAAGUUCGACUCUUGCCAGGCGGA